GCCAGUGUGGUAUAGUGGUUUGAGUGUUGGACUAGGACUCUGGAGACCAGGGUUUGAAUCUCAGCUUGGCCA
rnacentral:tRNA from 1 species